GAAAUAAGUAAUUCAAGGGAGAAUUUCUAAUUCAACUCUUUAGCGAUGAAAUUCGUUAUUAUUUCU
rnacentral:tRNA from 1 species